CUUGCUCUCGGGUGACGAGCGGCGGACGGGUGAGUAAUGUCUGGGAAACUGCCUGAUGGAGGGGGAUAACUACUGGAAACGGUAGCUAAUACCGCAUAAUGUCGCAAGACCAAAGUGGGGGACCUUCGGGCCUCAUGCCAUCAGAUGUGCCCAGAUGGGAUUAGCUAGUAGGUGGGGUAACGGCUCACCUAGGCGACGAUCCCUAGCUGGUCUGAGAGGAUGACCAGCCACACUGGAACUGAGACACGGUCCAGACUCCUACGGGAGGCAGCAGUGGGGAAUAUUGCACAAUGGGCGCAAGCCUGAUGCAGCCAUGCCGCGUGUGUGAAGAAGGCCUUCGGGUUGUAAAGCACUUUCAGCGGGGAGGAAGGCGAUAAGGUUAAUAACCUUGUCGAUUGACGUUACCCGCAGAAGAAGCACCGGCUAACUCCGUGCCAGCAGCCGCGGUAAUACGGAGGGUGCAAGCGUUAAUCGGAAUUACUGGGCGUAAAGCGCACGCAGGCGGUCUGUCAAGUCGGAUGUGAAAUCCCCGGGCUCAACCUGGGAACUGCAUUCGAAACUGGCAGGCUAGAGUCUUGUAGAGGGGGGUAGAAUUCCAGGUGUAGCGGUGAAAUGCGUAGAGAUCUGGAGGAAUACCGGUGGCGAAGGCGGCCCCCUGGACAAAGACUGACGCUCAGGUGCGAAAGCGUGGGGAGCAAACAGGAUUAGAUACCCUGGUAGUCCACGCCGUAAACGAUGUCGAUUUGGAGGUUGUGCCCUUGAGGCGUGGCUUCCGGAGCUAACGCGUUAAAUCGACCGCCUGGGGAGUACGGCCGCAAGGUUAAAACUCAAAUGAAUUGACGGGGGCCCGCACAAGCGGUGGAGCAUGUGGUUUAAUUCGAUGCAACGCGAAGAACCUUACCUGGUCUUGACAUCCACAGAACUUACCAGAGAUGGUUUGGUGCCUUCGGGAACUGUGAGACAGGUGCUGCAUGGCUGUCGUCAGCUCGUGUUGUGAAAUGUUGGGUUAAGUCCCGCAACGAGCGCAACCCUUAUCCUUUGUUGCCAGCGGUUAGGCCGGGAACUCAAAGGAGACUGCCAGUGAUAAACUGGAGGAAGGUGGGGAUGACGUCAAGUCAUCAUGGCCCUUACGACCAGGGCUACACACGUGCUACAAUGGCAUAUACAAAGAGAAGCGACCUCGCGAGAGCAAGCGGACCUCAUAAAGUAUGUCGUAGUCCGGAUUGGAGUCUGCAACUCGACUCCAUGAAGUCGGAAUCGCUAGUAAUCGUAGAUCAGAAUGCUACG
rnacentral:rRNA from 1 species